AAGAUACUAGUAAAACUGAACAUUACCCUGCCUUGUCGAGGCAAAAUUGCAGGUUAAAAUCCUGCGUAUCUUA
rnacentral:tRNA from 1 species